AUUUGGAGUGCGACCGAUCUGGGUUCGAACAAAUCUAGCCCUGUUACUCUGUUAUCUGCAAGGCUCCCACACACCUCUCUGACCGUCGGUUUCCUACUCUACGCGCCAGCCUCAGUGCAAGGCGUCGACGCGCCGCUGCUCACGCCGGCAGCCAGGCGCCCGUGAAGCUCCGAGGACGCUAUGGGCACCGCGCCCACGCCCCCUGCUGGCGGGUUGGGCUUCCCGCGCUCGUGGUUCCGCGCUCAACGCUCAGCUUGUGGGACUGCCCGCGGCCGGAUGCCCGGCGUCCGCACUGUCCUCGGCCUUCUGGCAGCCCUGACAGCCUGUGGCGCCGUGGCCUUCUUUGGCUACUGCGUCUACUUCGACCGGAAGCGGCGUGGCGACCCCGCGUUCAAGCGCCGCCUGCGGGAAAAAAGAAGAGCCCAGCAACAGAAGGCUGAGGGACGAGGCGCCCAGGUGAAGUGCUUUAGCGACGCCGAGGUGGCGUUACAUUGUGGGAUCCAGCAAAGAAUGAAAAAUUACAAGAACUUUUUCUGCAAGAGGUACAAAUGGGAGAAUUUUGGUUGUCCAGAGGAGAACAUCAAAUGGGGGUUGAACACCUCAGCAAUGCCCUUUUGGUGUGUGGCCAACCACAGGAACUUCUGAAAGUUUUCAAACACACACUUCCUCCCAAGGUAUUUGAGAUGCUGUUGCACAAAAUUCCCCUUAUUUGCCAGGAACCUAGAAAAAGAGCAAAACAAACCCACCCAAAGCAUGUAGAAGGAAAUGAUAACAAAGUCAACUAAAAUAAACACAGAAAAGCAGCAGACCAAAAACAAACAAACAAAAAAAAUCAAUGAAACAAAGAGCUGGUUCUCUGAAAAGACUAUAACAGACAAAUCUCUGGCCUGAUUAACAUCGGAAAAAAGAAGUCACUAAUUAUCAUCAAGAAUAAAACGGGGGAAAUCCCAUCGUG